rnacentral:tRNA from 1 species
GACCGCGUAGCUCAGUUGGAAGAGCAUUGGGCUAGUAUUCCAAAGGUCGUAGGUUAGAAUCCCACCGUGGCCG